UACGGAGGGUACAAACGUUGCUCGGAAUCAUUGGGCGUAAAGCGCACGUAGGCGGCCCAGCAAGUCGGGUGUGAAAGCCCUCGGCUUAACCGAGGAAGUGCAUUCGAAACUACUGAGCUUGAAUACUGGAGAGGAUCGCGGAAUUCCCGGUGUAGAGGUGAAAUUCGUAGAUAUCGGGAGGAACACCAGUGGCGAAGGCGGCGAUCUGGACAGAUAUUGACGCUGAGGUGCGAAAGCGUGGGGAGCAAACAGG
rnacentral:rRNA from 1 species